UACGUAGGGUGCAAGCGUUGUCCGGAUUUACUGGGCGUAAAGAGCGCGCAGGCGGUCGAUCAAGUCGAGUGUGAAAGCCCCCGGCUCAACUGGGGAGGGUCAUUCGAUACUGAUCGACUCGAAGGCAGGAGAGGGUAGUGGAAUUCCCGGUGUAGUGGUGAAAUGCGUAGAUAUCGGGAGGAACACCAGUGGCGAAGGCGACUACCUGGCCUGUUCUUGACGCUGAGGCGCGAAAGCUAGGGGAGCAAACGGG
rnacentral:rRNA from 1 species